UCCUAGAGCAUAAGAAAAAAAACUAGCUAAAAAUUCUGGAGACAUAAAAGUUCCACUUCAAUUUAACAUUAGAAAUGCAUGUUUAUAUUUUAUAUGUAACUGAUGGAAGCAAAUUUCUUCUACAGAUCUCAAAUAUUUUCACCCAUAUUCUUAGAUUACAAGUUCUUUGAAAACCUUUACUUGUUAAAGGAAUUGUCUUCCCCUGACAACAAUUUAAUGAUAGUUACAUAAAGAAGAAAAAACCCCAGGAAAGUGAGUAAUAGUGUCAGUAUGCUUUGACUCCAAAUUUAGGAUUUAAUUAAUAAAUGUCUUCUCUUGAAAAUGUUUACAGUGUCAGUAAAGUACACAUAUUAACAUAACCGUGUAGUUAGACUCCUUACAAGUAUUACAGUGCCUUAAGGCACUGAUAUUCAUGUGUGUUCAAAAAUAGAACAAGGGAAGACAUAAUUUUGGGGAUGUCUAUUGAACAUUCUUGGAAAAAAGAGUUUAACACUAAACAGCAGGUAGAGUUAAGUCAAGGAGUGAAAACUCUAGUCUACUAAUUAAAAUGGUAAUUUAAUAAAAUUGGGUUUACUGCUUUUACUGUAUUGUAAAACAACCUAGUCCUGCAAAUUAAAAAAAACAACCCAAAAUUGUGUAUCAGCAGUGACACCUGGAAGAAGCAGCUGGGCUAAUAACCACGUAGACAAAGUUCAACCGCCUAUUUAUUUAAUUCUUUUACAGUGAGUGUCUCAAUGACAACAAUUACUCUAACAUCAAGUAUCUUAAAUAGCUGUACAGUACUAGUACUAUUACUAUUUCUCAGGCUGUGACUUGAAAGUAGAAAUGUGUUUCAUUAAUGUACAUGAAAGGGUCAAGCUUACUGUAUUACAGGUGAACUAGCUUACAUUAGUGUGGAUGCCUCAUCUGUGGAAGUGUUCAAGGCCAGGCUGGAUGGGGCACUAAGCAACCUGGUCUAGAGGGAUUAGUCCCUACCCCUGGCAGGAAUAUUGGAACUAGAUGAUCUUUAAUGUCCCUUCCAACCUAAACCAUUCUACUAUUACUCUUCAAAGGUUGGUUUAUGCAUCUUAGGCUAGAACUAAAAACCUCACUGAGGACAAUGAUGAUGAAAUGCAAUUUAACAGAAGCAAGCAACUUAAAAUCUGAAUUUGAAAACAUAGUAUUUCAAGUGGCAGUGACAAAUUAAAAAUCAGCAAAAAUUAAAUGUAAUCUUGUAGGACAGUCUCUCCUGUCAGAGUUUUCAUAUUUUUGUUUUACUGAUCUCUACAAAUAAAAAGGUAAAGUACAAUUACAUACAAGUGGUAUCAAAUGUAUGAGAAAUUAAGAAAAAACAAACAGAAGUAUCUGUAAGAAAUAUACUUCAGACAAAAGCAAAACAUCAAAGGUUAAGAUAUACUUCCACUCAAGAAAUUAAGGACUGAGAUUCUUCAUGCAGUUUCAGUUUCCAAGGUGAAAAAGUAAGUUUGGCAUGAAGACACUUGUAAAUUAUGCUUUCACUGGCUUGUGAAACUUCACUUUCCCUCUUUAAGAAACAACCCAAUCUUAAAAGUGUCUUGUGUUACUGUAGCAAGGUUUUGGUAGCUGAGUGGCCAUAGGGGUGGCUUCUGUGGGAAGUUGAUAGACGCUUCCCCCACAUCCAACUGAGACAGUGUGAGCUGGCUCCAGGAUGGCCUUGCUGUCGCUACUGCCCAAGGCCAUGCCCAUCAGUGACUCUGGGAUAAUGUAUUUAACAAGGGGGAAAAAAACUGCAGCUGGAGAAGAGUGGAGUGAGAGUAUGUGAGGCUAUGUGAGAGACAGAGCUCAGUAGGUACCAGAUCAGUGAUAAAGGAGGGGCAGGAGGUGCUCCACAUGCUGAGAUUUCCCUGCAGCUGCUGGUGAACACCACAGUGAAGCAGCUGUUCCCCUGCAGCCCAUGGAGGGUCCAUGGAGGAGCAGAGAGCCACCUGUAGCCCACACUGGAGCAGGUGGAUGCCCAAAGAAUGAUGUGAUCCUGUGGGAAGCCCACACGGGAGCAGGCUUCUGGCAAGACCUGUGGCCCCAUGGAUAGAAGCUCAUGCUGGGGCACGUUUACUGGCAGGACUGUGAACCCAUGCUGGAACAGCCUGUUCCUGAAGGACUGCAUCCUGUGGGGAAGACUCAUGCAGAGCAGUUCAUGAAGAACUGCAGUCCACAGGAAGGACUCAUAUUGGAAGAGUUCAUGGAGAACUGUCUCCUGUGGGAGCAAUCCCCCACUGGAGAAGGCUGAGGGGUAGAAGGCAGAAAAUCUGGACGUGAAGUUAAACCCAGGAAGAAGAGAGGUGUAGAGGAAGUGUGGUUUUAAGAUUUGAUUAGUAAUAAAGUGGUAUUUCCCCAA